rnacentral:RNase_P_RNA from 1 species
UAAGUAGAACAAAUGAUCGCGGCUGCACAGACGAAAGGGUGCAGACGAGGAAAGUCCGGGCUCCACAGGGCAGGAUGCCGGAUAACAUCCGGUGGAGGCGACUCCAAGGCCAGUGCAACAGAAAUAAUACCGCCCGGGGUUGUGAAGCAACAGGCGUUUCGCGCAGCGAUUGCCACGGAGGAUUGCAAUGCAAUCCUCUGGAGUUUUGCGAAGCAAUACUCCGAGGUAAGGGUGGAAUGGCAGUGUAAGAGACUACCGCCGUCCCGGUAACGGGACGGGCUGUGUAAACCCCAUCCGGAGCAAGACCAAACAGAGAGCAAUGACCGGCCCGGUCCGCUUUCAGGUAGGUCGCUGGAGGGUCCCGGCAACGGGACUCCUAGAUAGAUGAUCAUUCACGACAUAACCCGGCUUAUCGUUCUGCUUACAAA